UGUAACGUGGAUGAAAAUAGUGGUCUAUAUAGCAAGUAUUAAAAAAAUAAAUGUCCAAAAAAUAUAGUGGUAUCCAUCUCUCCACUAUUUAUGAUGUGAUAGAAAGGUAAUACUAUCCAUAAAGUAUGAUAGUAGUGGCCUAUGUGGCACUACCAUAACAAAGAUAAAUAUCCAAAAUGAGUAAUGAUUUACAUCUUAAUUUUCUUCACCCACGAUGUGAGAAGAA
rnacentral:lncRNA from 1 species